rnacentral:rRNA from 1 species
GUAGGUGGCAAGCGUUGUCCGGAAUUAUUGGGCGUAAAGCGCGCGCAGGCGGUUCUUUAAGUCUGAUGUGAAAGCCCACGGGCUCAACCGUGGAGGGUCAUUGGAAACUGGAGAACUUGAGUACAGAAGAGGAAAGCGGAAUUCCACGUGUAGCGGUGAAAUGCGUAGAGAUGUGGAGGAACACCAGUGGCGAAGGCGGCUUUCUGGUCUGUAACUGACGCUGAGGCGCGAAAGCGUGGGGAGCAAACAGGAUUAGAUACCCUGGUAGUCCACGCCGUAAACGAUGAGUGCUAAGUGUUAGGGGGUUUCCGCCCCUUAGUGCUGCAGCUAACGCAUUAAGCACUCCGCCUGGGGAGUACGGCCGCAAAGGCUA